AACGAACGCUGGCGGCAUGCCUAACACAUGCAAGUCGAACGAUAAGCCACCUUCGGGUGGUGGACAGUGGCGCACGGGUGAGUAACACGUGGGGACCUGCCUGAUAGUACGGAAAAACAGUUGGAAACGACUGCUAAUACCGUAUACGCCCUUCGGGGGAAAGAUUUAUCGCUAUCAGAUGGACCCGCGCUAGAUUAGAUAGUUGGUGAGGUAAUGGCUCACCAAGUCGACGAUCUAUAGCUGGUUUGAGAAGAUGAUCAGCCACAUUGGGACUGAGACACGGCCCAGACUCCUACGGGAGGCAGCAGUGGGGAAUAUUGUACAAUGGGCGCAAGCCUGAUACAGCAAUGCCGCGUGAGUGAAGACGGCCUUAGGGUUGUAAAACUCUUUCGCCAGGGAAGAUAAUGACGGUACCUGGUAAAGAAGUCCCGGCUAACUCCGUG
rnacentral:rRNA from 1 species